rnacentral:rRNA from 1 species
GUGAGGAAUAUUGCGCAAUGGGCGAAAGCCUGACGCAGCGACGCCGCGUGUGGGAUGAAGGAGCUUUGCUUCGUAAACCACUGUCGGACGGGAAGAAAAAGUUCCUACGGGGGCUUGGGACAGUACCGUCAGAGGAAGCACCGGCUAACUACGUGCCAGCAGCCGCGGUAAUACGUAGGGUGCGAGCGUUGUCCGGAAUUACUGGGUGUAAAGGGUGCGUAGGCGGGCAUGUGCGUCGGAGGUUAAAUACAACGGCUUAACCGUUGAACUGCCUUCGAAACGGCAUGUCUUGAAUGUGGGAGAGGAUGAUGGAAUUCCUGGUGUAGCGGUGAAAUGCGUAGAUAUCAGGAGGAACACCGGUGGCGAAGGCGGUCAUCUGGCCCACUAUUGACGCUGAGGCACGAAAGCGUGGGGAGCAAACAGGAUUAGAAACCCUAGUAGUCC